rnacentral:rRNA from 1 species
AUUGAACGCUGGCGGCAGGCCUAACACAUGCAAGUCGAACGGUAACAGAAAGCAGCUUGCUGCUUUGCUGACGAGUGGCGGACGGGUGAGUAAUGUCUGGGAAACUGCCUGAUGGAGGGGGAUAACUACUGGAAACGGUAGCUAAUACCGCAUAACGUCGCAAGACCAAAGAGGGGGACCUUCGGGCCUCUUGCCAUCGGAUGUGCCCAGAUGGGAUUAGCUAGUAGGUGGGGUAACGGCUCACCUAGGCGACGAUCCCUAGCUGGUCUGAGAGGAUGACCAGCCACACUGGAACUGAGACACGGUCCAGACUCCGACGGGAGGCAGCAGUGGGGAAUAUUGCACAAUGGGCGCAAGCCUGAUGCAGCCAUGCCGCGUGUAUGAAGAAGGCCUUCGGGUUGUAAAGUACUUUCAGCGGGAAGGAAGGGAGUAAAGUUAAUACCUUUGCUCAUUGACGUUACCCGCAGAAGAAGCACCGGCUAACUCCGUG